GAUCAGUAGCCGUGAUAUAUUUCUUGGCCAUUCAAAGCAUAAUUUAAAGAACUAUGGAAUAUUGAAGCAGUUUUGUCGCAUGUGGUUUAUAUAGGGAACAAAGUUGUCCACACGUUCAUCACUGAAAAUGAAAUGCGUUUUGUUCCUGUAUUCUGAAAGCGACAGCGCUAAAGCUGAACAGCUUAAGGAUUACUUGCAAGGCAAGCUGCGAAAAGUGGCAGAUCUACGAAAUAUCACCGACAUUCUGGCAGAGGAACAGGAUUUUAAGAAAGAACUUUCUAGCAGCAGCUGUGUUGUGUUGACAGGAUCUCGUCACGCAUCGUCUCUUAUUUAAAACGAACUCCAAGAAAUCGAAGAUGAUUUUAUCACUUUCGACGGUAAAGUGAUACAUGACGAGUUCACAGGAAGCAAAGAACUCGUGGACAGAUUGGUGAUAGUUUUCUUCACCGAGAGAACCAAGAAUGAUUGGAUUCCGACUGGCUUGGAUGAAAGAAGAAUAUUUAACCUGCAAGGUGAAGAAAUUCAGAGAGGAAAUCCUUCGCUGGACCAUCUUGAAGAUUGCAUUAAGGGAAUUUUGACUGGCAAAACUCGCGUGUAAUUUUUGAGACAGGAAUAUGAGAUAUUGUAAUGUCUCAUAUAUUUCAAGGAGCUGAGAGCCGAUUAGCUAAGACUGAGGUAGACUUUUAGAACCAAACCAUAUCUGUAAGAAAAGGUUUUAGUAAUAAACAGCGGCCCUGUGUGUUAAGUUGAA